GCGGAAGUAGUUCAGUGGUAGAACACCACCUUGCCAAGGUGGGGGCCGCGGGUUCAAAUCCCGUCUUCCGCUCCA
rnacentral:tRNA from 1 species